GACGAACGCUGGCGGCGUGCCUAAUACAUGCAAGUCGAACGGUCUUUUCUAUGGAAGCUUGCUUCCACUGAGAAGAUAGUAGCGAACGGGUGAGUAACACGUGGGUAACCUGCCCAUAAGAGGGGGAUAACAUCCGGAAACGGGUGCUAAUACCGCAUAGUUUUCUUGAUCGCAUGAUUGAGAAAGGAAAGACGGCCUUUGUGCUGUCGCUUAUGGAUGGACCCGCGGCGUAUUAGUUAGUUGGUGAGGGAACGGCUCACCAAGACGAUGAUACGUAGCCGACCUGAGAGGGUGAUCGGCCACAUUGGGACUGAGACACGGCCCAAACUCCUACGGGAGGCAGCAGUAGGGAAUCUUCCGCAAUGGACGAAAGUCUGACGGAGCAACGCCGCGUGAGUGAAGAAGGUUUUCGGAUCGUAAAACUCUGUUGUCAGAGAAGAACAAGUCGGAGAGUAACUGCUCCGGCCUUGACGGUAUCUGACCAGAAAGCCACGGCUAACUACGUGCCAGCCGCCGCCGUAAUAC
rnacentral:rRNA from 1 species